AAUCAGUAAUAUUGUAAUGUAAUGAAUUACUUUAAAAUGAGGGUAACAAGUAAUAAAUAAUGCAUUACAGUUUUGAAGUAACUUGCCCAACACUGGUCAUGAACCCCAACAUUCCAACAGGCUUAGCGGACGGGAUAUUACAAGAGUGGACAAGGAAGGGUAUCAAUACUGUUGACAAUCUCUACACCAACAAUAGCUUUUUAAGUUUUGACCAAAUGUCAGUACUAUAUAAUAUUGAGUGGCAUAACUUCUUCAAAUAUCUACAGAUUAGGAGUUGGAUUAAGAGUCAAACCAAAGAUCACUUCCCACAUAGACCUGAGGAAACCCUACUAGAAAGUACCUUUUUGAUCCAAAGUGGAAAGGAUCUAAAGGAUUAAUAUCUGCUGUUUAUAAAACAGUGAUUGAUAAUUUACCAGCUUAUGCAAGACCCUCAAACAAAAUGAGGUGGGAGGCCGACUCGGGUUGUAGCUACACAGAGGAUGAUUGGAGCAGAUUAUUAAAGGAGACAUAACAUGAAAAACCCACUUUUUUAUCCAUUAACACAGUGUGUUUCACAUUUUAAGUGUCUAAGUGAGCAAAAAGGCUUAUAUUAUUCACUGGAGUUGCUAUUUAGAUAUUUAAUAAUUAAGUUUUGGGCAUAUUUGUCCACCCGUUCAGUUUUUACAUUAUCCAUUACGUCAGUAAUUAAUUUAGUCAGGAUAACUACCAAAUAUGGUAAUGGCCCUCGGCUAAACACAGAGCCAAUCCGCCAUUUUUUCUUCUCGCUAAGAUUUUUUGUAGUCCUAUUGGAAAAAUGCAGAAUGUCUGGUUAUUUUAGCCACACACAGCUCAAAACUGUUCCUCGUUUUAAGGAAGGGUGGUGUGGCAGUAUUUAAACCCAGGAGCUGAUGACACUACUGCUAAAAAAACACAGAAGAAAAAGUAGUGUGUUUGUGUGUGUGUGUGUGUGUGUGUGUGUGUGUGUGUGUGUGUGUGUGUGUGUGUGUGUGUGUGUGCGCGCGUGGUUCGUUCGUUCGUGUCUCCCAGGCUAGUAAGUACUGAGGGCUUCAUCUAUCUAAAAGGAGUCAUUUGCAUCUGAAUGUGGCAGCACCGGGACACAGCAGCAGAGCGAGUCAACAUCCAGAAGACUGGAGCCGUGUUUCACUGACAGGCUGUCAGACUAAAGCCCUGAUGAGCUCAGCUGGGACAAACUGGUCUGAUGUUUAGGAACACAGAACGUUCAGAUGUUGGCAUUUCACAUCACCUACUGAGGAAGGAGACCCACCAGUAAAGAGAUGGUAGCUGGACCAGACCAAAAAUAUGGCGAUGACAUCAUGGAACUGGUCUUUGGAAAAGUUUUCCCUGAACCAACUCCGUUUCUAGAUGAGGUAGAGAAGAUCUGCAUCUCACCAACCCUCUGGUCUCAGAGACAACAGAGGUCUCCCACUGUUAUCCAGGACCAGUUUGAAGCCCACAUACUGCCCCUCCCUCAUCAUCAGGAAACAUCAAUCCGUAUCCUGAGGACAACAGAAGACGGCAGGAGGGCAGGAACUCUGAGACCUAGACACCACCAGCACCGAGACACAAAGCACCUGUGUGCACAACGCCUGUUUAACUACUAAAGCCUGUUUAUUAUAUUGUUCUACUUAUUUGCUGUGAGGUUAAUACUUACAAAAAUUUGUAUAUUAAUGUAAACAAUUAAAAAAAUCACUGAUUGUAUGUUUUCUUUUAGAUGUAAUGGUCCAAACUCAGCCUUGUAGACAUUUAUUGCAUCCUGUAGGUAAAUACACAGAACAGGCUCAGGUCCAGGAUGACCCAGCAUGCUCUUCUUCCAUUCUGGCUGUUAGGGAUUGUAUCAAUAACUCAAUGCCUACUGAUGUUUCCACCUAACGGUAUUUAUUUAGAAUGCAGGUCAGAUUUAACUAUAUUUGUUAGCAAAGCAGACUGAUCCUGGGAAUUUCACUGCAGCACUGAUGUCCACCUCUCUGUACACAUUAGAGAGAAUUACCACUUUACAGCUAAACACAUAUUUAAUAAAGAUAUAGGCUACGCAUUGCAGACAAUAAAAACAAAGUUGUAAGCAUUAGAAUUAUAAUGAUCACAUUAAAGAACAUUUGGAGGAAUGUUCUUUAUUUUUGACUCGAAUCUCAAAUCUUUAAAUUAAAAUGUAACUGCUUUUUAUCCAUUUUCAGCCAUUAAGACACCCAAUAUAAAAUAAGACUACUUAUAAAAUUAUUUAUAAUUAUAUGUAUGUAUAUAUAUAGAUAGAGAUCUUAAUAAAAUGUAUUCUUUUAAUGGUGUUUUAAUGAGCUGUAUCAUUUUUUAAAACAUUUUUUAUAGAAAUAAAUAAGCAAGCAGCAUUCCUUGUGUGUGUGUGUGUGUGCGCGUGCGCGCGCACGUGCCUGCUAGCUGGUCCCUCCGUCGGCAGUGACGGGUGUGUGUGAGUGACUACAGACAAAUGCAUGAGAGAGUUAGCAGCCUUGAAACAGCUUGAUGAACUACCCUCCCCACAUGUUUUAAAAAUGCUAAUAUGCUAUGCUAAAUCUGCUAUGCUAAAUAAUGAUUUCUCUAUAGAACUACAAAGUCCGGCUGGGGGAGGAGAGAACAGGUCUGCACUAUGGAGGGGGGCGGAGUUUACAGCUCCUCCUCCAGUUUAAAGAGACAGUACCCAAAACGGCUCGUUCUCAAGACUCUCCUCAGAACAGGGGUAGAUGAGGGUCUGUAGAGCAACAAUAAUGAGGAAAUCAGACCAAAGAACUGCAGUUCCACUGUAUUUAGACCCCAACUGAAGGAUUUAGAUGUAAAAAGGAAUAACUUAAAAGCAUGUUAUGUCUCCUUUAAAGCUGGCCCAAACCAAACUGGCAUCCACUAAGCAUAGACAAAUUCAGUUUAACACAUUCCACAUAACAUACUUCACACCAUAUAGUCAGAUUACGUUAGUGACUGAAUAGAUUUAACAUUAAUAUUAGAACAAUCCAGUGAACAACGUUCAUAUUGUGUUGUUCUACGUUUACCUGUAUCUGUCUACAACAUGAUGUACGGCAAGCCAUUUUGACAUUUAAUCAACAACACCUCUCUGUAAUUCCUGUUCUACAUAGCAAUAAUAUAAUUGAUCCUUGUCCAAAUAAUGUUCUCACUCAUGACAUUUGUAAAGAUGAACAAGUAGAAAUUAUAAGUAACAUUCAUAAUAACAACUGCACUAGCAGGAAUUUAUCAUCUUAAUUCAUUAAGGUGUCUCCAUCCUUCAGUGCUAACCCCGAACAGUUAAAACUUUUUGUCUUUUUACAGAAACUCCAAAAUAGAUUUUAGGCAAAUACAAUUAAAGGUGUGGAACACUGAAAAAUCAGUUUUUAGUUAUUAUUUCUGAUAAUCAAUCACUGAGUUUUUCAUGUUCUGAACAUGAAAAUAGUCUCCUACACCUACCUCCUGCAUCAGCUUCUGAUAGAAAAUAGACGGUGAAACUCUAGGAUUAGAAAAGCCUGACAGAUCUAUGUCACACUGUCACUUAACAUUUAUGGACUCACCCAUCUCGACUCAUGGUGGCGAAGGCUGUUUUUGUUUAGCGUCCAGGAAGUAACAGAGAACGUCUUUACUAGUAGACCGAUCCAAGAUCGCGGCGCCAGCGCUUGUCAGCGCCCAUAGGCAGUAGCGGCCACGCGGGACCAAUCUACGUCUAAGUAAAAAAAAAAAAAAAAAAAAAAAAAAAA